UACGUAGGGUGCAAGCGUUAAUCGGAAUUACUGGGCGUAAAGCGUGCGCAGGCGGUUUGCUAAGACAGGUGUGAAAUCCCCGGGCUUAACCUGGGAACUGCACUUGUUACUGGCAGGCUUGAGUGUGGCAGAGGGGGGGUGGAAUUCCGACGUGUAGCAGUGAAAUGCGUAGAGAUGUGGAGGAACACCGAUGGCGAAGGCAGCCCCCUGGGCUAACACUGACGCUCAUGCACGAAAGCGUGGGAGCAAACAGG
rnacentral:rRNA from 1 species